GAGCCACAGCGUGGAGAAGCCACAUCAGAGAAAAACCUCUGGUGCGGAUGGUUAGUGCAGAGAGGCUCUGGUUCAGUCCUGUGUGGCAUGGAAAGGACCAAGACUGGGGCUCAGCUGAGAACCCUGCUGGGUGGGCCUCUGUGGAGGUGACCAGGCUAAGGCUGAGGAAGUGACCCAUAUGGUGGGUCACUUGGGCAGGACUGAACAGGAGUCAGACUCCCCACCAGGGCAGAGGAGGGGCCACAUCAAGCCCCAACCCAGCCCAAGAACUGAUGGCCAGUUUGUCAGCCCCGAAUCAACCUCCGGGGUGGACCUGACUCACCAGAUCUCACCUCUGUGGUUUCCAAUCCAAAACUGGACCUGACCAUUGCAGACCUACAUGGAGACAGAGAACUCAGAGGGUUCCAGCCCUUCCUGUUGGACCCUGACUGAUACAUUUCCACAGGGCAGUUAAUGUUGACCCCACUUUACAGAUGAGAUUAACCAAAGCUGUGGGGUCCAGUGACUUGAUCAAGGUCACAUAACCAGUUGUGGAGAAGUGGGAUCUGACCCUGGAUCUGACCAGAGAGAUGCUUCGUGCCUUUGCUCCACCUCCUGAAUGCUGUCACCACCGGUCUCCAAUCUCCAAAUAUACCUAACUUUUAAAAGAAAUUGUAGUAAAAAAUACACAUAACAUAAAGUUUA